GCUUACGGCCAUACCAGCCUGAAUACGUCCGAUCUCGUCCGAUCUCGGAAGCUAAGCAGGGUCGGGCCUGGUUAGUACUUGGAUGGGAGACCGCCUGGGAAUACCAGGUGCUGUAAGCA
rnacentral:rRNA from 1 species